rnacentral:snoRNA from 1 species
GGUUAUGAUGAAGCAAAUCUUUUAUUCCAUGCUAAUCAUGAUGGUUGGCUAUUGCAGCCUGCCCUGAUU